ACAGAGAGCAGCAGAGGGUUCAUCCUCCGGCGAACAGCUACUACCAUGGCGUCCACUGAGAUAGCGAGGCAAGCGGGUGAAGGUGCUCGUGCCGUCCCUCUUGCCGGCCACGUCGGCUUUGACAGCAUGCCUGACCAGCUGGUCAAUAAGUCUGUCAACCACGGAUUCUGCUUUAACAUCCUUUGUGUUGGCGAGACGGGUCUGGGGAAGUCCACCCUGAUGGACACACUGUUUAACACAAAGUUUGAGGGGGAGCCCACCCAGCACAACCAGCCGGGAGUCACGCUCAAGUCCAACACCUAUGAACUCCAGGAGAGUAACGUACGUCUCAAACUCACCGUCGUCAACACUGUGGGCUUCGGAGAUCAGAUCAACAAAGAAGACAGCUACAAGUCUAUCGUGGAGUUCAUCGACGCCCAGUUUGAAGCAUAUCUGCAGGAGGAGCUGAAGAUUAAACGCACGCUACACAGCUACCACGACACACGCAUCCAUGCAUGCCUCUAUUUCAUUGCACCGACAGGACACUCGCUCAAAUCCCUGGAUUUGGUGACCAUGAAGAAACUUGAUAGCAAGGUCAAUAUUAUUCCCAUCAUCGCCAAGUCGGACGCUAUUUCCAAGAGUGAGCUGGCCAAGUUCAAAAUCAAAAUCACCAGUGAGCUGGUCAGCAACGGAGUGCAGAUCUACCAGUUUCCCACUGACGACGAAUCUGUGGCAGAGAUCAACUCCACUAUGAACAGCCACUUGCCAUUUGCUGUAGUGGGGAGCACAGAGGAAGUGAAGAUUGGGAACAAGAUGGUAAAGGCCCGGCAGUACCCCUGGGGAACAGUUCAGGUGGAAAACGAGAACCAUUGUGAUUUCGUCAAACUGCGAGAAAUGCUGAUCAGAGUGAACAUGGAGGACCUGCGAGAGCAGACCCACACGCGUCACUACGAGCUCUACCGUCGUUGUAAACUUGAAGAAAUGGGCUUCAAGGAUACCGACCCUGACAGCAAACCUUUUAGUCUUCAGGAGACCUAUGAAGCCAAGAGGAACGAGUUCAUGGGUGAGUUGCAGAAGAAAGAAGAAGAGAUGAGGCAAAUGUUUGUCCAAAGAGUCAAAGAGAAGGAGGCCGAGCUCAAAGAAGCAGAGAAAGAGCUGCAUGAGAAGUUUGACCGUUUAAAGAAGCUUCACCAGGACGAGAAAAAGAAACUGGAGGAUAAGAGGAAGUCUCUGGACGACGAGCUGAACAUGUUUAAACAGAAAAAGACUGCUGCAGAGCUCUUGCAGAACCAGGCCCAGCAGGCAGGGGGCUCCACCACACUCAAGCGGGACAAAGAGAGGAAAAACUGAUGUGACGCCGUGCCUGUUAGAAAAAGGAAGAAGACACUUGCACUGAGAAGGUUCUUGUUGCUUUAUUUUUUCUUUCCUGUUAAUGCCCUUCCUUCACAGCCACUUUCUCUUUUCAUGAGCUCUGCCCGGAUCAUUUCUCUUCCAAAAGGAGCAUCAGAGCAACAUCUUUAGCUUUGUCUGUGGGUCACUGAUUAAAACUGACUAAAGCAGUCGCACACUCAGUGUGAACACAGAUGAAUAAGUGUCAGGUUGUAUUAAAUCCUUUGCUUGUUUAUUUAUCUGUUUAUUUACCAAGGAUCCUCAAUAGUUAUUACCAAGGAAAAAAUGAUUUUUCCUGGGUUCAAUAGCAGAGAAACCAGGGUUGAGUCAGUGUUUUCUUCAGUUCCCAGACGACACAGCUAUUGAUACCUGCUUCUUGUGUGUACGAUGUGAAUCUGUCCUGUGAAUGCAUGUGUCACCUAUGUUGCAUCCAUAAUGUUUUCCAGUUAACUCCUACACCCACACUUGCUGCAUGCUGCAUGAGGCACCUUUUCGGCUUAAGGUUCCUGUAGACAAAAAAGUGCUCCCUUGUGGCCAUCCUGCUGUGAAUGAGUUUCAACCCCAACAUCCUUUUUUACAGUACCCCUUCCCCCACCCUCGCCCUCACCCACCCCCUCAUAAUUCAACCUUCCACAUGCCCUCCACCCUGCUCUCUGGAAGACGCUGGGUUAGCAGUGUGCCUUUUUUCUUUUUUUGCCCAAUAAUGCUUGUCUAUUUAAUGUUUUGUACAAGCAAUUAUUCAGCCUUUUCAUUUUUUUAAAGACAUGUCCUUAAAAUGCAUUCCAUAUUUGUUUGAUAUUCAGUGAUUCUUUGCAUGAUAGAGUGAGUCUUUUUUAAUAUUAACAUACAUGACCACUGUUCUGAUUUGUAGAAAUGUACUGAGGGUUUAGUGAAACAUGCAUCAGACACUGGGCCAGUGUUUUUGUAAGUGUGGCCAAAGAUCUGCAGUAGACUAAAAUAGGAAAGAAUUAAGACAGAGGACUGCUUUAAAAAAGUAAAGUCAGUGAGGCAUUAAUAUGAUCCAGGUCCAGAUUAAAAUGUUUUUAAUGAAAUUAUUAACUCUCAAUUUUAUAAGCUAGUAACAGCAGUUUCUUUAAAAGGUGAUUGAACCAACAAUUACCAACAUUCUUGUUCUUCAGCUUUUCAAAACACACAGCGUGCACUGCUUCUCCCUGCAAUAUCUCCAAUUGGAACUUAAUCAUUUAAUAUAUAUGAUACUUAUCAGUGUCUUUUAAUACAUCUAAUACAUUUUAUGUCUGUGACCGCCUCAAAACUAAACACCCAGCUGGUUAACAGUUGAACCUUCUUAAAGUGAAGCAGUAAGAGUUCAACAAGCACAAGUAGAAGAGGCAGUCAGUCCUCACUGUGAUACAGUAAUAGAGAUAGUAGAAGUAACAUAACAGUUUCGUUGAUAGUCAUUUCUUGAUCCUAUAAGUCCGUCCGUAAACAUUUUUUUAAUAUUGACAAAUGAUAACAGAAUCUAAAUAAACUUGGACUGAACUAUACAUGUAAUAUCCAAAUAAGAAUUUGAUUCCACGAAAGUCCUCAGGAAUAGAUCAGCUUCCACCCAUUACCCUGGCAGCCAUGAUUACUUUAAAGUAUUCAUGUCCCUGUGUUGAUGGUGUUUCACUUUAACCUGUUGCAUGUGUGGUUGUGAGCCUAAUCUCUUUACCAUUUCUCCCACAUCUCAUUUACUGUCAUGUGUUAUGUCCAUUCUUAGCUUUCACAUUUUUUACAUAAACAAAUGUGAUGUUUCUAAUUGAGUAUAUAAAGUAAUGUUGUCAGUGCAAUUGUAACUUUCUUUUUUUCUUUUACUUAUAAUGAAGGCACAUUUGAAAGUCAGUCACCAGGAUGUCUAAUGUCCUGCAGGGACCAUGUUGUUUGUAUCAUUGUUAUUGCAUCAAAUAACAUAAUCUCAAGGAAAAAUAAAGGCCAAUUUUUCACCAAAUAUUUCAACUGUGGCCGUACUCAUUAUAUACAACAACUUCUGCUGUGAAGAGGGAGAUUAGAGGAAAGAUUCAUACUUGAAAAAAUGGGGAAAUUGGUUAUGCUUAAUUUGCAUGAUGUUGCCUGUCAGUUAACGGUUGUUAAUUGAACAAAUAUUGAUGCCAGUAAGUGUAAGAGACUGUAAUCCAGAGUCUCUUCACAGCUUUGGUUGCUUCUUGGUUCUUUCAAUUCUUCAGGUAUUUUCAUUCACUUGUCUUCAGAAUCACAGGGCAUCUUUUGACUCCAGUUUUCCCUCUUUUUCUUUUUUCUUUCCCACUAAAUCAAGGUUAAAGGUUGCUUUCAUUGCCUCUAUGUAAGAGAAAAUUGUCUUUGCAAUAAAGACAUUAAACACUUAAAUUCAUGAUACCAGGGGUCAAAGUACAUUACAAAAGCCCUUCCCUCUUCUUUUAUCCCGCGCUCACUGGUAUGUGUGGUUUCACUUUCCUUUGCAGUAAUCCCUGGCUCUGCACUGAGUAGGUCCUCAGCCCUCAAGCUUUGCUAAGGGACCAGCCCUUUGUGGGUACUGAGUACCUCAAAUGUGACCAGAGGCUUUCUGGACCCCAUCCUUCAGGGUUUCUUAAUCAUUACCUGCUUUGCUAUAAUAUUGCUCCAUGUGUAACUGUGUUUUGCUGCAGCUCUAACCUCACCCUCAGCCAUAUUAAGUCCUGCUGUGCUGCCUCUGCUUAUGUUUAUACUUUAUGUGCACUGUGUGUUGUUAUUGUGACUAACAGUAUUUCCACUUGAGUUUACUGAAGAUUAGAUGAGCACUUGUUUUUUUUAAGUUAUAUUUGUGUGGUGUUAAGUUUCACAAGACAAUCAUGUGCACCUGUAACAAGUAAUUUCAGCACCAUCACUCGACCUUAAUCCAUGAUUUGUUAUGCUAUUAUUAAAACAGGGUUUGUACCACCUCACUUUUUCUACCUGAUACCAGAUGCACUUCUAAAUAUCGAGCUUGACUUUUUUGAAAGAGUUCCUGCUUUGCCUCUUCCUCUCUAACUGCUGGCUUUCUCUCUCUUUGUCUCUUUAGCUUCUUUUAAUCUGUCUCAACCACCUGAAGAGGGGAUUGCAGCUUCGGCAAGAACUAAGCACCCUUUACCUCUUCCUGUUUUAUCUCGCUGUUUUGAACCCUUUUUUAUCCUCCCUAUGGCAUCCCCAUUUCUUCUCAUUAUUUUUUUUAAUAUGGCCUUACGUGGACUCGCAUGGUAUUUCUGAACCACCCCUUAUGAAGCUCCAACCCAGGCAGGGUGGGAACCGGGCACAGUUUGAAUCUGCUUUAAUGUCUUAAUGUACAUAAGGAGACUCGUUUAGUUAAAAGUCAUCAGUUAGACAUCUUUAAGACUCAUUUUGGAAACCAUUACCUUAUCUUUGCUUGAAGCAAAAUAGCAACGAUCUGCACUAUGCACUCAUCUUUUCAAAAAUAUACUUCAAUUUUAGUCAAACACUCAAACAUCAAGGUUUGCUGAUUAAAAAAUCAUCAAGGACUGAAGCACUUAAUGUAGGAUGUGUUAUCAAGGUUCAACAAAAGUCGUGUUUUUUUUCUUAUUUAGUUCAGCUUGAGAUAAAAAUCUGAAAAAUUAAAUUGGUCAUUAUCACCGAAAAGCCAAAGCAAUAUUUUCUAUAUAGCACUUCAUUUGAUGGUGCCCAUGUUUACAUGUCACUGUUGAAUACCAUGGAGGUCACAUGUGAUGGCCUUUUACUACACAUUGUGCUUUAAGAUUCACCUGCCUACUCUAUAUUUUGCAUGCAUCUUAUUGUUUUAUUACCACUGUGAUCUCAGACCUGCCUGUUUUUAUACCCUUAAAACUCUGGUUUGCAGUCUAUUUCAACUUCAUUGCUGUUUCUUCAAAUGGUGCAUAUAGUUAAUAAUGUAUAUUUGCUCUGUCCUAUUAUUUCAGCUCCCUUUUCUGCCAAAUAAGUACAAGGUGGCGUUGAUCUGAAUCCCAGAAAUGAGUUU